UUAUUUUAAUUGUUGUCUCGUGACAGUGAUAUGAGAAUAAUUGAUUAAAAUAAUAAAAAAAAGUUGUGUUAACAUUAAAUUUUAAAUUCUUGCGCGUAAAUACUGCGCAAGUUUCAGCGCAGGAGAAAGGCAAUUUAUAUUUUUUUCCCCACUGGUAACGUGGAGCUUUGUGUUGGUUAUUGCAAAAGAUAAUAAGAUAAAAAUCCAACGGAUGCAGUUAAAUCUAUAUGUUAAGAAUGUGUGAUGAAGUGAACAUCUCACCAAGUGAAGGAAGCUGUUAAAUACCUUAAAGAAAUUUGUAAAUCAAAAUUAUUUGACGCAUAUGGAUAAGAAAAAAGAAGUGCAUUGUUUUAUUUAUACACCAUUGUGUGAUAUUUGUUAAAACACGAAUGUCAAUGAAUUUAAAACGUAAUUUAUUUAUCAAUUUGUGAUUGUCUUUUAGUUAUUGUGCAUAAUUUUCGUUAUUAAUUGUUUUUUAUACCACCGCAGAAGAGAAAUCGAUUAUUUCGAAUUUAUAACAGACGAGUACUUUUAAUUUUGACAUGGAAGGCAGUUCCGAUUUGACUGGACUGCCAACGGUGAGCGAAGUGGUACCAAAAAUUCAAGAAAAAUCAAAAGCUGGCGAAAGUACGUCACUCUCGCCCAAUAAUGGCCAAACAUAUUUUGCAAAUGAAAAAAUAAAAAUCCCCGAGAGAAAUACCACCGGUUUUAGCUUUAGGACACUAUGGGCUUUCACAGGUCCAGGAUUUUUAAUGUCCAUCGCAUAUUUGGACCCUGGAAAUAUAGAGUCAGAUUUACAAUCAGGAAAAGUAGCACAAUAUAAGUUAUUAUGGAUUUUACUUAGUGCAACAGUUUUAGGCCUCGUUAUGCAGAGGUUGAGUGCCCGAUUGGGCGUUGUUUCCGGAUUACAUUUGGCCGAAAUGUGCUUUAGACAAUAUAAAAAAGUACCGCGACUUAUAUUAUGGAUAAUGAUAGAAAUUGCCAUAAUUGGAAGCGAUAUGCAAGAAGUUAUCGGCACUGCAAUUGCUCUUUAUCUUCUAUCAAAUAAACGAAUACCGUUGUAUGCAGGCGUUCUUAUCACUAUCAUCGACACUUUUACAUUCUUAUUUCUGGAUAAAUACGGUUUGAGAAAACUGGAAUUAUUUUUUGGUUUUCUCAUAACUGUUAUGGCUGUUACGUUCGGUUAUGAGUACAUUGUGUCAGCGCCUCCUCAGUUAGAAAUUGUCAAAGGAAUGUUUAUCCCUUCGUUCGAAGGUUACAAUAGUGAUGUACUUUUAAAAGCGGUUGGAGUUGUUGGCGCAGUUAUUAUGCCACACAAUUUAUAUCUUCACAGUGCACUCGUUAAAUCACGUGACAUUGAUCGCAGACGUCCAGAAAAAGUGAAGGAAGCGAAUAAGUAUUAUUUUGUAGAAGCUGCGAUUGCAUUGUUCAUUUCGUUUAUAAUAAAUGUCUUCGUCGUGGGUGUCUUUGCCUACGGACUGUUUAAUAAAACUGGCUCCGAAAUAUACGAAAUCUGCGAAAAUAAUAAUUUUACGAUUGGAAUUGAAGCAUUUAAAAAUAAAACGGAAAAAUUGGACGACGCCGAUUUGUACAGCGGAGGAAUAUAUCUUGGAUGUCAGUUUGGCUUUGCUGCAAUGAUAAUAUGGGCGAUUGGAAUUUUAGCUGCUGGACAAUCGUCAACAAUGACGGGAACCUAUGCGGGACAAUUUGCAAUGGAGGGUUUUUUGAAUUUACAAUGGGCGCGUUGGAAGCGAGUUUUAUUCACCCGAUCAAUUGCAAUUAUUCCAACAUUUUUAUUGGCAUUCUAUGCGGACAUUGAAAAACUCACUGGUAUGAAUGACCUUCUCAAUGCCGUUAUGAGUCUACAAUUACCUUUCGCCACUCUACCAACUAUCGCAUUCACCAGCAGUGCUCAUAUUAUGGGAGAAUUUAAAAAUGGAUUGGGAAAUAAAAUUGUCGCGACUUUACUAUCAGUCACAGUAAUAUCGAUAAAUAUUUAUUUUGUAAUCAAUACUGUCGAUGAAAAAUUGUCACAUCAUUGGUCAGUUAUUUUAGCUUUUUCAAUUUUCUCAAUUUUGUACCUGACGUUUUGUGUGUAUUUGAUAAUACACAUGGCUGUGAAUAUGGGAGCAACGUCUCUAGGCAAUCAUUGGUUUGUCGCCAAAUAUAUUGGCGGUCCGGUAGAAAAUUCAUUUGGAUUAUCGAAUCCUGCCGUCUAUUCGAGCUUCGUCAACGGUUCGGAUCUUUCCUUGGACGCAUAAUAACUGCAUCAAUCAGAAAAAAAAACAAACGAAAGUGCCCAAAGAAAUUAAUUAGCGCCACUAUAUUACUAUAAAAAUAAACAUAAUAGAAAGCAAAUUAGCAUAAUAUAAUAAUUAAUGAAACGAGAAUAAUAAAAAUUCGCGAGUUUUGUGAUGUCUGUCUGAUGUGCCAUUUGAUACAUGCUCCCGUGACUGCUGCUGCCAAGGUAUGUGUCAGUAUGGGACUUCUAAAGAGGUGAAGAUUUGUCAAGAGAUAUUUCACGAAGAUAUCGAACGAGCGAUACUUGUGUGUCACUAAUUUAACACAAGCAUUGUACUAACUGCGAGUAUUUUCUUUUUUUUUCUUUUUUUAUAACUAUCAAAAACAGAAAAAAUCAUCAGUGAAACAGGGUGACGCUCGUGAAUGUGUGAAAAUAAAGAAAAUAAAAUUGUAUUUCAGAACAAAUCCAGCAUUUUCAGCUGACGAGGCCUCGGAUAGUUACAAUAAUAUCUUUUCUAUGAAUCAAACGAUAAACUAAUUUUGAGAUUUUCAACAACAGACUCGAUGAAUUUUUUUACCACUGUAAAUUUGUAUGUAUAAAAAAAAAUUCUCAAAUUCAACGAAAGUCAUAAUUAUUGUAUAUUUAACGGAAAAAAAUAUCUUGUUUGUAAAUUGUAUAUAAUUGACAAUAAAUAUUUUAAGUUUUAUCACUGAA